rnacentral:rRNA from 1 species
UACGAAGGGGGCUAGCGUUGCUCGGAAUUACUGGGCGUAAAGGGCGCGUAGGCGGAUAGUUUAGUCAGAGGUGAAAGCCCAGGGCUCAACCUUGGAAUUGCCUUUGAUACUGGCUGUCUUGAGUUCGGGAGAGGUGAGUGGAAUGCCGAGUGUAGAGGUGAAAUUCGUAGAUAUUCGGCGGAACACCGGUGGCGAAGGCGGGUCUCUGGGCAGUAACUGACGCUCAGGCGCGACAGCGUGGGGGAUCAAACAGG